CGACGCGGGGCUCGAACUCACGGACCGUGAGAUCGUGACCUGAGCCGAAGUCGGAAGCUUAACCGACCGAGCCACCCAGGCGCCCCGAUAGUUGGUAUUAUUAACAUCAUCAUUACCGUUGUUACUUCCCCUUCCUUCCGAUGUUUAUUGCGCUGCCUCUAGGCAUGAGGUUCUGGGCCAGGCUCUGGACAGAGGAGGUCUGUCCCACCCCAUUGUCUUAGGGGUUGACAUGCUUGCAUCCACUUCCACUCAGCUCUCUUUAGACGUGACAUUUUGCAUGGAGUUAAGGCUGAACGCCGAAGGAGAACCCCUAAUUUCCAGGUACUGGAAAAGGUCAGGAGUGGAACAGAGGGUUAGAUUUGGUGUUUUGAUGACAGGAUAGCUAAUGGGCCUAAAAUCCGUCUGUCACUUGGGAACCGAGGUUUCCCGGGACCAGAAAACUAACAAGCGCAUUAGCAGUAGGUUUCAGUGUGCCUAUUUGCCACGCGCGGUAAGUAAACAAACUCUCCCAGGUUGGAGUGCGGCGUCUGGGGAGGGGCCCUGGUGGAGGGCAGGGGCCCGGGCGUGGAGCAGGUGACUCUCUUAGAGGCAGACCAAAGGAUUCCAAAUGGGACGUGGGACUGUCUUUCCGGGUCCCCCUUAGAGCAUUAGGUGGAUGGCAAAGACAGCCGGAUAAUCUGGAGAUGCAAUAGCCCUGGGGUAAUUGAGAGUUGGAGGCCUGAGCUCUGAGCAGUAUUCCUUCAAAAUCGCUGCUUUGCAUAAUGAAGUUGCCAAGCAGCCCUGGAAUUCUCUGUGGUUUCCAUCUCCUUUCUCCACUCGUCCCACGUUCUCCACGGGCUGCUGCCCCUCUAUCUGCAUGUUUAUGGGACGAGCCGCAGCAACCGUGGUCACAUUUUCAGAGAAACUGCAAGAGUGCUCCGCUAACUUCAAGAAACCUCCAAAUUCAGGGGCACCGGUUGAGCAUCUGGCUUCAGCUCAGGUCAUGAUCUCGCAGUUCGUGAGUUCGAGCCCCGCGUGGGGCUCCGUGCUGACAGCUCAGAGCCUGGAACCUGCUUCGGAGUCUGUGCCUCCCUCUCUCUCUGCCCCUCCCCACCCCUCUCAAAAAUAAAGAUUAAAAUAAUUUUUUUAAAGAAACCUCCAAAUUCAAACUUACCAAGUACAUAAAUUAGGAGAUGGUUAUUUGUACUCCAGGAAGCCUUUUCUUUUACAGUGAGCCUUAACCACAAGAAUCCCUUAACAGUCAGCUUCUCCUAGAUCAUUUUGGGGUCGAGUUAUACCUGGCAGAGGCUUUGGGGGGUAGGGGGGAAGACAUAUAGAGUUAGAGAAUUAGAACCACCGUUGAUAUCUUAACAGUUGGGAGUGAGGAUGAAUCACCUCGGAUAUUCUAACAAAGCUCCAGGGGAAAAUAGCGUUUGAUUCGCAAACACUUGGUGAUUACACAAUUUUUAUAAAGCGGUGUGCAACUUUCGUUCAUCCAUUCAUGCAACGAACACGUAUUGAAUACCUACUGUGUGCCAGGAAAUGUGAGAGGAAUAACUAUAAAUAAUAAAUAGAUAAAUACCGUUGUUUUCAGGGAAACCUCAAGGAAGAAGAAACGGACAUUGAUGGUGUGGGAUGGAAAUUGCCGCCAGGGGGGUAGACAGCAGACACAGCAGACUGAUAGAGGGGGAUCUAAAUCAAAGGGUCCAAAUUUUUCCUGAAAGCAAACAGGGGCCAUUGGAUUAUUUCACGUGAGGGGAUUGAGAUGAUCCUGGUUGCAUGUGAGAAAGAUCAUUCUGGCAGCAGCAAAGAGUGUCAAUUGGGAAGCCAG